rnacentral:tRNA from 2 species
UCCUGUAUAGCUAAGUUGGCAAAAGCACUACAUCGGUUAUGUAGAGACCGGCGGUUCGAAUCCGUCUGCAGGAG